rnacentral:rRNA from 1 species
CCUACGGGAGGCAGCAGUGAGGAAUAUUGGUCAAUGGUCGGGCGACUGAACCAGCCAAGCCGCGUGAGGGAUGAAGGUACAGAGUAUCGUCAACCUCUUUUAUCAGGGAAAAAAGGCCGGUACGUAUCCCCGGAUGAGUGUACAUGAAGACAAAGCAUCGGCUAACUCCGUGCCAGCAGCCGCGGUAAUCCGGAGUAUGCGAGCGUUAUCCGGUUUUAUUGGGGUUAAAGGGUGCGCAGGCGGGAUGUUAAGUCAGGUGUUAAAGCACGGGGCUCAACCCGCGCACUGCAGUGGAUAUUGGCAGUAUAGAGUGGGGGAGAGGUAUGCGGAAUGCGCGGUGUAGCGGUGAAAUGCUUAGAGAUCGCGAAGAACUCCGAUUGCGAAGGCAGCAUGCCGGCUCCACACUGACGCUGAGGUACGAAAGCGUGGGUAUCGAACAGGAUUAGAUACCCUUGUAGUC